AGAGUUUGAUCCUGGCUCAGAACGAACGCUGGCGGCGUGCCUAACACAUGCAAGUCGCACGCAGUUAAGGGGGCAACUCCUUGAUUGAGUGGCGCACGGGUGAGUAACACGUAGGUAACCUGCCCUUCACUGGGGAAUAACCUGUCGAAAGACGGGCUAAUUCCGCAUACGUCCAAGACUGCUCCGGCAGAUUUGGGGAAAGGCGGCCCGCAAGGGCUGUCGGUGAUGGAUGGGCCUGCGUACCAUUAGCUAGUUGGUAGGGUAAUGGCCCACCAAGGCGACGAUCAGUAGCCGGUCUGAGAGGAUGAACGGCCACACUGGGACUGAGACACGGCCCAGACUCCUACGGGAGGCAGCAGUGAGGAAUAUUGGUCAAUGGACGCAAGUCUGAACCAGCCAUGCCGCGUGCAGGAUGACGGCCUUAUGGGUUUGUAAACUGCUUUUUGUCAGGGAAUAAACCCUUGUUUGCGAACAAGGCUGAAGGUACCUGAAGAAUAAGCAUCGGCUAACUCCGUGCC
rnacentral:rRNA from 1 species